rnacentral:rRNA from 1 species
GACGAACCGUGCGAACGUUAUUCGGAAUCACUGGGCUUAAAGCGCGUGUAGGCGGCCCGGCACGUCCGUCGCUGAAAUCCCCCGGCUCAACCGGGGAACGGGCGCGGAUACGACCAGGCUGGAGGGGGGUAGGGGGCGCCGGAACUUCCGGUGGAGCGGUGAAAUGCGUUGAGAUCGGAAGGAACGCCCGUGGCGAAAGCGGGCGCCUGGACCCCACCUGACGCUGAGACGCGAAAGCCAGGGGAGCGAACGGG